GUCCCCGCGCAUGUCGGCUCGCGCAUCUUGGCCGCGUCUCGUUUCCAGUGCCCUAAACAAGUGUAAUUUGACAAAUUUACAUAUAAACAUUAAGGAGUGAGGAAGUUAAAACGAUACCAAUCGAGUUUUAGAGCUUUGGUGACCAUUUUAAAAGAAUAUAUGAUAAAUUCAAAGGUAAGUCUAUCGUAUUACAUUGUCUUAAAUGAAUUCUCAGCUAAAAUACGGCAAUAAAUGGAUCAUAAAUUUAGUUAAAUUCACUGUUGACAACGAGGUUGACAGAUCCAAUGAUUUUUUUCCUUGAAUAGCUUUACCAUAGUCAUUUUACCUUAAAAUGUGGCUACCGAGGAUAUCUCUAAGAGAUUUUGCACAGAUUAUUUGCACAAUCUCACGAUUUAAUCAUGCUGAUAACAUGAAAAUCCUUGUGCCAUUGUAUACUUGGCAUAUUAAUCUCCACAUCAAUAGUUCACCAGUUCAACACUUAUAAGUUAUAAAUUCAAUAUAUUUUUGAACCAGUCCAUAUAUUAUUAUACACAAUGUAGUAUAGUUAAUUUGACCAUUGAGAAGUAAGGGUGUAUUACAUUACACAGACACUGCUGAAUUUUAGGUUACAUGCCAUUGGAUUGAUAUAUAAAAACAUUUGUAAAAACACACAUUAUCUUGUUGAUAGAAUAGUUAUUUGCAGUAUACUAACUGUUGGCAUACUCUAUUUCAGGCCUAUCAAUUGUUUUUGUCACUGGCAAUCUUUGAAAUACAAUCUUGCUCUGUGGCCUUUACUGACAAGUUGGCUUUUACUACAUAUGUGGCACUGACACCUCUUUAAUUAAUGCACCAGUCAAUGUAAACCCCCCAACCGGGGAGGGGCAGGGAUUUUGACUUGGAGGGGUAGUAAAAGCAAAAUUGUCCCGCCCCCAGGGACAUCAAUGUCCCCUGCAUGUCUCUCAACUGCGGGAAAAUAGUUUUGUAUAAUCAUAGAUCAGCAAUAGAAAAUCAAAUUCAUUUAAUAUGUUGUUGUAUUUAAACUUUUCUUGUCAAGAAAACUAAAACAGCAACACAGGAUAUAUAUAUUAACCACCGUCCAAGUCUCCCAUCAUCGGGGCAAAUUUAUAAUCAAAACAGACCACUUUCCCCACUAAACCUCCCGCCCCUCCCCGGUUGGGGGCAGGGAUUUACAUUGACUGGUGCAUAACUAGAUGAUUGCAUGAAAGUUGAUUUACGUAUAAUUAGUUUAUGAAUAAACUCGCACUUUCAUUGUAGAGGUUAAGAUUUGAGUUCUACUAGCACUAUCUCUGACUGCCUUAAGCCGCGUUCACACCAGCGGCCCAGGCCUGGCCUUGACCUGGCCUGGGCCAAUUGUGACGCAUUCACACUGGCUUGACGCCCAACUCCAGGCCAAAGCAAUCAGGCGUCAAUAUAAACGUCCUUGUGUUCCACUAAAGUAUUUAAUUUUGCGCUUUGAAUGUUUUUCCCUCCAAUUGUAUGACAAUCAUCUGACCAGUUUUUAUCGUGGGCAGAUAUUGCGAUGGUAACGGGGCCUCGCCCAGGCCAGGCACAGGAAAAACCUGUUCACACCAGUGAUGAUCAAGGCCAGGCCAGGUCCAGGCCACCUACAUUUGCUGGCCUGGAUUUCUUGACUUAGGCCAGGCUCAGGCCAGGUAAAACCCGUUCACACCUAGACCCAGGCUAGGUCCAGGCCAGGCCUGGGCCGCUAGUGUGAACGCGGCUUUAGUAUGCAUCUGAUUGGUUAUAAUGGUUGAUCGAAUAUAUCAAAUGCAUUUGAUGGUCCCUUAAUGGUAAUGGUAGUCAAAUCUGAACCUCUAUAAUGUCAAUGAAGAAUGCAUACUGGAAAAGUAUCAAAUUAAAUUUUAAUUGUCAAUGUUGUGGAAAGUAAAUAAAUCAAACAAUUCUGUUUGUUUCAACUAACUAGUUCACUAUCACUU